rnacentral:rRNA from 1 species
GUGCUUGCACUGAUUUCAACAAUGAAGCGAGUGGCGAACUGGUGAGUAACACGUGGGAAAUCUGCCCAGAAGCAGGGGAUAACACUUGGAAACAGGUGCUAAUACCGUAUAACAACAAAAUCCGCAUGGAUUUAGUUUGAAAGGUGGCUUCGGCUAUCACUUCUGGAUGAUCCCGCGGCGUAUUAGUUAGUUGGUGAGGUAAAGGCCCACCAAGACGAUGAUACGUAGCCGACCUGAGAGGGUAAUCGGCCACAUUGGGACUGAGACACGGCCCAAACUCCUACGGGAGGCAGCAGUAGGGAAUCUUCCACAAUGGACGAAAGUCUGAUGGAGCAAUGCCGCGUGAGUGAAGAAGGGUUUGCGGCUCGUAAAACUCUGUAGUUAAAGAAGAACACCUUUGAGAGUAACUGUUCAAGGGUUGACGGUAUUUAACCAGAAAGCCACGGCUAACUACGUGCCAGCAGCCGCGGUAAUACGUAUGGUGGCAAGCGUUGUCCGGAUUUAUUUGGGCGUAAAGCGAGCGCAGGCGGUUUUUUAAGUCUGAUGUGAAAGCCUUCGGCUUAACCGGAGAAGUGCAUCGGAAACUGGGAGAC